UGGACGGUCUAUAAGUUAUUAGGCAACACAGAAACAACUUCCUCUGGUGUGUGAGAGCCAGGAAUAGGUCGGCUUGAUUGCUUACUUCAGAAGAACGCGCUCUAUGCACUCUGCUCCUGAAGCUGUCGCCUGAUACAUAUAAGAACACCGUCUUCAUCUCUUUUGCUCUUGAUGUCACUACACUGGGGCCUUGGACAAGCAUGCUGGAUUUUGAUGUGACAAGAAAUAUCGAGAACAUGAACUCUUUGCUUCUCUGGUUUUGCUGGAUGAUUCCUUUGUCUCUAGAGGAGAAGAGAACUGGAGGUUUCACAACAAAAGACUAGAAUACUGCAAUUGAGAGGUAUAGACCGACAUACCCCAGAGUUGUGGCACCCAUUAACAGAUCAAGCAAGCGCGUGCAGCUGUGUUUUGAUCAGUGAAAAGGUUUCCUGGCAUCCAAGAACUGAAAUCACCUUUUGGGGUAUGACAAACGCAUCCAAGCAUCUAGCAAGUGAAAAUCGAGGGUCUCGGUAAGGAAGGAAUAAGAGAAACUACCACAGAGAAUUAAAAGUAAACCUUUAAUAGUUACAACUGUGCAAACUCAAUCACAUUCAUGCCUUCUAUUGGCACCUAGCCCUCCACCAUUACAUUUGCUAGCUUACAAAGCUAGUUCCCAUUCCUUCCUCCUGCCCCCUUUUGCCCCUGUUUUUGCACCAGGCUUCCCCAGCUACCAGAGUUGUGGGCUCAUCUUCAUCAUCCAUUUGAGCACAGGCACAUGCUAAGAGGAUACAUUUACCCUUUUGCCUCCUGCUCUGAAACAGUGCUUCAGCCACUGGGAAAGGAAGGAGCUACUGAGCUUGAUGCCCUUUGUGGGCAUGUUCCAUGCUUUUUAAUCAUUGCAUAGCGCUUAAAUACUGUGGGGAUAGGCACUUUGGAGGUAUCUAAGAUGACAGAAAGACAGGUACGAUUCAGAGGAAAAUUAACUUGACAGAGUGGGGUCAAAGGGUUUUAACCAGCUCCUUCGUUCUGACUCCCUCAGGUUCAGCCCCUCACUCCUCCAUCAUUGUAACUGCAUGCUUGACACAAACAGACACGGGAGAGGCACCAUUUUUCAAGUUGAGCCGUGCAAAUAGCCUCCACUCAGACUGUAUUGCAAUCUCUGGUUAACCUAAUAUCAGGAAGUGAGCAAUACAGAGCACAGUCUUCCCCCUCAGAGACUUCCAUGGCCAAAAUUGUUUAUGGUGGCCACAAUUAAUUUUCUAAAUUUGCAAACCUCAGUGUCCCAACUAUUUUCAUUCCCCAAAGGCCAGUUUUUAGCACCCACUAGAUUAGUUGGAGAUCUGAGUUCCAAAUUUGCAUGGAUAAAUACUAUUUGUCCAUGCAAAUCCAACUUUGCAGGUGAAGCAAAAAUUUAAGCCGCUAAUAUUGUGUGCCUAAAAAUGUGGACUUUCAGUUUGGGGGCUGCAAAUUCGAGGCUGCUUUUGAAAGUCUGCAAUGCUCCCAGCCUCCAAAGGCUUGACAUUCAAACUUCCUGUAGUCAUAUCCAAACUUGGGGAUACCCAAGAAGUAUUCACUGAGCUUCCAGAUGCUCCCCUACCCUAGGAUGCGUUAAGGAUGGAGAUUAACCAAAAUAUAUGGUAGAGAUUUGAUAUGGGCUCUAUCCACAGCACUUAUUUGCUCUGUUGAGCUCCUCCUUUUGCAAAAUCCUGCUUGCCUGGUGAUGGAAAAUCCCUGGUCCAGUCUUACUAGAGUCAUGUGACCAGCAGAAACAUAAGCCAACCAGAGAGAUUUACAUCUUUCAAGCUCUUUUCAUGCUGCCCUCCUCAGAUUCCUUGAACAGCAGCUUUCUUGUUCAUAAAUACUGCAGAUACAUUGAGUCUGAUUCUCAUUUACACUAAUGCCCCUUUAUGCCGUUCAGCAGUGUGAAAGGACCUUAAAGUGGGCGUAACUGUGCUUUAAAUGCACUGUAAGGCCCCUUUACCUGCUAGAGCCUUAAUGUAAAUGCCUUCUCUUUUCCCUUCCGUUUUCUUAUUUUGUUUCUUUGCUUACCAGCCCUUCAGAUCGAAUGUAUAUGGAUUUAGGGGGGAAUUCCAAGAUCCAAGGGGAUUCUCCCUCUCUGAAUCCUGAAUCAUUAAAGAUGGCUGCACCAUUACACUAAACACAGGCCCAGUUCUUCACAUUUAUCUUAGUUUAGCACUAGGGUGACCAGACAGCAAAUGUGAAAAAUUGGGACAGGGGGUGGAGGGUAAUAGGAGCCUAUAUAAAAAAAAGACCCAAAAAUCGGGACUGUCCCUAUAAAAUCGGGACAUCUGGUCACGCUAGUUAGCACAUUCCUUUAUUUAACUAUCUCUCAUCUGACUACAUCUGAGCAUUCCUUCAUUACAUUUUCACUUAAUCUUUUACCCCUGACUCAGACUAAGCAUCCCGUCACAUAUCACCCAAGGGACCAUCUCCGCUUCCCCCAACCACCCCUCUACUCUUUCCUCCCAUUUAGAUUCUUUACUCCACUCUGCGUAAUUUGCCUGAUUAUGUGGAGGGAGCGGUAGAUCUCUUUGUAAUUGCUGUUUUACGUAAAACGUUGAUUCCUCAGCUUCUGCCUGGUUUCAGGACCUAACACCUCACAAUGGGUUUCCCUGGGAUAAUCAGCGAAUAAGGCCAGAGAGGGCCUGAGCCCUGGGUUCAGAGUACAUUCCUGUAUUUGAAAGCAGCUCCAGAUUCUUGGCACUUGCCUGGUUAAACUGCAUGUGCAAUAUUGUCUCUCCAGGCAUUCUGGCAACCCCUGUAGUAGGAUUUCACUUGUUCUCAGUCUUUCUGACUCAGAGACAUUAAUUCCCCCCCAAGCUCCUUUGACAGAUAUAAGAAGUUCUCUCUUUUUUUUAAAUAUGAUGCUUACUGGAUAUUUCUUUUAACCUUUCACUGCCACUCCUGAAUGGGGUGAUAGUUUCUCCCUCCAGAUGAUGAUCUCUAGCAUGCAGUAACACAAGUUCCAAUCACCUGCUCAUUGUGAAGCUAAUAUGUAUUAUGCGGCCAAUUAAUUUAUGCCCGUGCCCAAGAGACUCUGCCUCUCAAUGUACUCCCUGCAUAUGAGGCCGUUCUUUCAGCACUUCUAUUGUCAAUGGCCACAUGAAGGAAGCCAUUGCUCAAGCCAGAAACUCUUUGUUUUACCAAAAAAGGGUUGAGAAACAUUAGGCAAGACUCUGCUGUAUCAAUUCAUCAGAUGCGGUGGAAAGAAAAUGUCUUUAAGAAAAGCAUUUUGGAGGAGGAUGCAAACAAAGCAGUGUCACUGGAUCAGCCCAGGAGGCAGCCCAGCUGAAAUCCACUGAAGUAGUCAUUUUCUCCAUUUCCAGUUUCUCUCUCACACACAAAAAUUGUCUGAGGAGACGCAAAUAUUUAAAAACAAAAAGACCUCCCAGGCUGACUUGAAACAUGUUCAAACUACACAUCUUCUCCCUACAACCCAGUAAAUAUUUCUUUGGCCCCACAAAACAUUUUACACUGAACCCAGGAAACCUCAGGUUGACCUUGGAAGUAAGAUUCCUCCUUUUCAAAGCAAAUGUUUCGGCAAUGCUACUGGCGGCAUUGCACUUUUCCACCAGAAUCAUAUAAAACCUGUCUUUUUUGGCAAACGUGCUAAAUUGUGCUGUUGUGAACUAGCUGCUUUCCUGGUUAACUGCACAUGGACUCUCUGAAUUCUUUGCUCCAUUUUUACACCAUGGUAUAAGGCUGAUGGCAAUGCUACAAUGUUCAACAACCUUCUGGGCUAGAUCCUCAGCUGGUAUAAAUCAGCAUAGCUCUCAUGGCGUCAAUGGAGCUACAUAGACUUACACCAGCUGAGAAUCUGGCCCUUAUAUCUAUAGCAGUGGUUUUAAAUCUAUGGUCCCCAGACCCCUGGGAUUCCACAGACCAUGUCUAAGGUUUCCAAAAGGGUCUGCACCUCAAUUCAAAAAAUGUUAGGGGUCUGCAAAUGAAAAAAGGUUGAAAACCACUGAUCUAUAGAGAUCAUGAGAGGUGUUCUCUUCUAUUUGCACUGGCUGCUUUAGCAGCAUUUAAUACUAUAGGACCUUUUUAGCUUACUUUGAAUCCUCCACUGGGAUUGCACAUGUCUGGAUUUGAUUAUCUUUGAUACAGACUGUCAAUUUGUUUUCCUCUGAUGUUUUCCUCCUCUGCUUGCUGUGUUAACUCUACUGUCCCCCAAGACAAUUUCUCAUAUCCCUCUGGGAUGUUCUGAAAAUAUAGUUUUGAAAUUUCCUUUGACGUCAUCUUCUUAGUGCAUGUCUGCUCAUAUUCAGGUAAAGAUUCCCUGGGACUGAUUUCAAUUCUUUGUAGUAAAGUAUGACCAUAUGCUCACUGUUUGGAAUUUAAGGACAUGUAGGGCCUGAAAUCCAUCCUCUGAUGUCUAUUUGAUGUCUGUUAACUGAUGCUAAAUAUCCUGAUGUUCACUAUGAUUGCAAUCUCCACUUUAACAUUCGUGCAUUGUUUACAGUACCACCAGAAUGGCUUUUAGAUUUUUUUUUAACUCUUUAGCAUAAUUAGAAAAUUAUUUCUGUUCUGUUUCUGUGGUAAAACAAAAGAAAUAGAGAUGGACAAUUUGGUUCAGAUGUACCAUACGAACUGAACCAAACUUUGUCUAAAAUUCCAACCAAAUCCCAAACAAACAUUUUUUGGCAUUCAAUAAAAUGGGGGAUAAACUUAUUUCAAAAUUAUCUUUUUUAUUUUUUCACACCUCGUGCUUUCAAGCUGUAGCCAAAGCAGUUGUGCUGUGUGCUAUGAGAGAGGCUAUUCCACAGAGAUUUCCAGUCCUGCAGUCUGAUCCACAUGGAUGUGGACCACACCCACCCCAAGUCCUGUUGAAAUAAGUGGGACUUUUUAUGUGCACAAAGGUCUGGAUUUAUCAAUUAUAUUGCAGGAUGGGAGCCCAGUUGUGCAGAUUUAAGAGUUUCGUGCAGUUCAGACAAUUAUAAGUAUCUGAAAUGUUGGGUGUGUAUUCAAACCGGGAUGAACCUCUGAACUUUCUUAGUUUUUCUUGUUACCACCAAAAAGGAAAACACCUGUUUUGUUUUUUGUUCCUGCACUUGAAUUCAAACAAAGCAGGGAUUUAUAAAUAAUCGCUGUUUUCAGAAGGUACAAUAUUCUGUAAGGAUCAUUCCCAGAUCUGAUGAACACACAAUACUCAUUGAGUGAACUUGCACUUGCUUUCAUGUAAAAUAUUAAAAGGACUAUCAAAUAUGUUUGGUACAAAAUACCUGGAGUAUAUUGCUGCUGGCAGGAUUCUCAGGUUAGUACGUUCUGGUUCACUGUAACAGUUCUGUCGUUUGGGCCAUUUGCAUGUGAGGUUAUUACAUCUUUUGACACUUGAAGGCAUGUGCCACUCUCACACAAAACAUUUGCAAAGUCAAACUAUAAAAAGGGGAAAUGAAAUGUAGCCUUUUUUCCCUAUUGUUUUUAUUUUCUAGUGAAAUGUGUUUUAAAAGGCCUCUGAAAUGUAAAAUUGCUUUUGUUGUAGCAACUAAAUUCAUUUCACUUUUGAUCUGAAAUGCAUUUGUAGCAAAUUUCCAGAGCUGAAAGGCUAAUCUAAUAACCCUGUAUGCACUAAGUCCAGAGCUGAAUGCCCAACCAGGCACUGAGCAGAUGCACAGGGAUGGAAUCCAUCUUGUGGUGACGGGAGUGUGCUCUGUAGGCCCUUCCCAUACCAUGCCUCCCAGCCCAACAGGGUAAGGAUGAGAAGUUCCCAUAGCAGCCCACUCUUUCCCCUCCUUCAUCCAGCAAUGCCUCUCGCUCUCUUGCCAGCUGUGUGCUGUUUUGCCAAGCUGCAUCCCAUUAGGUGCAGGAAUUGCAUACUCCCUCUGAGCCUUCCAUCCUGCCUCCCUGUUUGCAGUGGGAUGAAACCAGUUUGGCACCCAACACAUAGUUCAGGUAAUGUGGAGGCAGGGACGGGGGAGCUUGUCACUCCCUCUCCCCAGCAACUUCUCACACACACACACAUAUACACACACACACCUCACCUGAAGGCAGAUAGGGUUGGAUGUAUUCCUGGAAAUUUCAUCACAUGACAUGACUCCAGGCCAACACUGGACAGUUGGCAACCCUAAUUGCAGAUCCUCUGAGUCCCUCAUGCUGCUCCUCUGGCACAGCACAUAUCCAGAAUACUCAUUCACUUUGGGCCACAGAAAGAGAUUCAGUUUUUUCAUAAGAAAUUGGAAAUGGAAAAGAUGAAGACUUUUAUCACUGGAUUUUAGCGGAGUCCCUUCCUGCACUCAGGUGAUUCACACACAAGCAUUUGUUUUGCUCCUGCAACUCAUGCACAUAAAAAAAAAUGCACUUGAUUGUGCAUGUGGCCUUUUGAAAAAAAUUGCCCUCAACUUUUCUGUGCCUCAGUUUCCCAAUCUGUAAAAUGGGAAUAAUAAUACUUGCCUACCUUUGUAUAAUGUAUUUUGAGGUCCUUGGAUGUAUGGCACAAUAAACUUCUAAUUCUUUCUUAGGUGCAUCAUGUAAUGUGGUCACCUUUUGUGUAUUAUUAAAUACCAAAGGUAAUAGGCAGAGCUCAGCUAAAUAAUACGCUCUCACAAGAUACAGGUUAUUAUUGUGCUUGAGUCUACUGCAUUUAGCACACACUCAAAAAAAAAUCUUUGGAAAAGUUUCUCUUUGAGCAUUUUAUGUUAGAGCCUUAGUGCUGAUUCUGCCUCUAAAUUAUAAACCCUUAUGUAUGUACCAUAAAGAUGUCCACCUAAUGCACAGAAAAACAUAUUAAUUGAUCACAGCAAUAUAUUCUUAUCCACUGAAUUAGAGCAUUCCACGCAUUGUUUCUUUUUGUUUGUUUGUUUGUUUUUUGGCUUGUAAAUCUUUGUUGUAGGAUACGAAUGAAAAUGACCCAAAUAUGUAUUAUUUAUGAAUAGGAGUCUCAGAUAUUAUGCUUUAGAUUGAUUGUGUUAGACAGCGUAUAAUAGAAGCACAAUAAGUCAAUGAAAAAUAAAAAGCAGCAAAAAUGUUUCAUGCUAAAAAUGUAGUUCCAGUGACACCUCUUAUAUAAAGGACAUUGCCAAUAUAUUGACAUUUAUAUUUAUCAUGGCUGUGUGCCUGAUUUACAAGUGUUUGAGGUGCUGAAUAUCAGGAAUAUCCAUGCACAUACACACCCCUUUUGAAUGAUUGUAAGGCAUAGAUUGCUCCAUCACCCCUUAUACGGCAAGCUUUUCCUCCCUUUUUUAUUUUUCUCCUCUAGCUUCAGGGAGGCAAAGGAAGCAGUAGAUCAAUAGGAUGUCUUGACUGAAGUUGCCUGCAGCAGUUCCAUUUCUCAGACUGGACACUGAUGCUAACUAUCAAUAGCAAUAAGAGGCUGUCUCAGACAGAAUUAAGGCUCUUUCUUCUGCAUGGCUGUCUGGUGGUUACUGAUAAACAUCUUGUGCGCAGGAUUGCAACAAAUAAACCAUUUCAAGUGUGCAAACUAGCCACUGUCAUUCUUUCUAUUGAUACUUGCUUUUGAGGUGCGGGCGGAGAGAGUGUUAUAGUAUUUUCAUCUGGAUAAUGGAUACAGGUUAGACAGGUGUAAGGAC